rnacentral:rRNA from 1 species
UACGUAGGGUGCGAGCGUUAAUCGGAAUUACUGGGCGUAAAGCGUGCGUAGGCGGUUCGUUAUGUCUGCUGUGAAAGCCCCGGGCUUAACCUGGGAAUGGCAGUGGAAACUGGCGGGCUUGAGUGUGGCAGAGGGGGGUGGAAUUCCGCGUGUAGCAGUGAAAUGCGUAGAGAUGCGGAGGAACACCGAUGGCGAAGGCAGCCCCCUGGGCUAACACUGACGCUGAGGCACGAAAGCGUGGGGAGCAAACAGG